GACGAACGCUGGCGGCGUGCCUAACACAUGCAAGUCGAGCGAGGUACUUAUAACAGAACUCUUCGGAGGGAAGACUUAAGUAGCCUAGCGGCGGAUGGGUGAGUAAUAUAUGAGAAACCUGCCUUUCACAAAGGAAUAGCCUCGGGAAACCGGGAUUAAUACCUUAUGAAACUUGUUAUUCGCAUGAAUAAUAAGUUAAAGCGUAAAGCGGUGAAAGAUGGUCUCAUAUCCCAUUAGCUAGUUGGUGAGAUAGAAGCUCACCAAGGCAACGAUGGGUAACCGGCCUGAGAGGGUGAACGGUCACACUGGAACUGAGACACGGCCCAGACUCCUACGGGAGGCAGCAGUGGGGAAUAUUGGACAAUGGGGGGAACCCUGAUCCAGCAAUACCGCGUGUGUGAAGAAGGCCUUAGGGUUGUAAAGCACUUUUGUUAGGGAGAAUGGUAUUUAUAGCGAACACCUAUAGAUAUCGAUGUUACCUAAAGAAUAAGCACCGGCUAACUCCGU
rnacentral:rRNA from 1 species